UGUGCUUGCACAUCGCUGACGAGUGGCGGACGGGUGAGUAAUGGUGGGGAACUUGCCUUUGGGAGGGGGAUAACAGUUGGAAACGGCUGCUAAUACCGCAUAAUGUCUUCGGACCAAACGGGGCUUCUGCUCCGGCGCAAAGAGAGGCCCAAGUGAGAUUAGCUAGUUGGUAAGGUAACGGCUUACCAAGGCGACUAUCUCUAGCUGUUCUGAGAGGAAGAUCACCCACACUGGGACUGAGACACGGCCCACACUCCUACGGGAGGCAGCAGUGGGGAAUAUUGCACAAUGGGGGAAACCCUGAUGCACCCAUGCCGCGUGUGUGAAGAAGGCCUUCGGGUUGUAAAGCACUUUCAGUUGUGAGGAAAAGUUAAUAUUUAAUACCUGCUACCCGUGACGUUAACAACAAAAGAAGCACCGGCUAACUCCGUGCCAGCAGCCGCGGUAAUACGGAGGGUGCGAGCGUUAAUCGGAAUUACUGGGCGUAAAGCGCACGCCGGC
rnacentral:rRNA from 1 species